CACGUAGUUAGCCGGGGCUUAUUCAGCAGGUACCGUCAUUUUUUUCUUCCCUGCUAAAAGGAGUUUACAACCCGAAGGCCGUCAUCCUCCACGCGACGUCGCUGCAUCAGGGUUUCCCCCAUUGUGCAAGAUUCCUAAUUGCUGCCCCCCGUAGGAGUCUGGGCCGUAUCUCAGUCCCAAUCCGGCUGAUCGUCCUCUCAGACCAGCUACCCGUCAAAGGCUUGGUGCGCCGUUACCGCACCAACUACCUGAUAGGCCGCAAGCCCAUCCCAAAGCACAUAAAGCUUUAGACCAACCACCAGGCAGCGGUUGGACCACAUUCGGUAUUAGCAGCCUUUUCAGGCUGUUGUCCCAAACUUCGGGGCAGGUUGCUUACGUGUUACGCGACCGUUCGCCACUGACAGAAGAUAAAUCCUCUGCCCGUUCGACUUGCAUUUCUUAGGCACGCCGCAAGCGUUCGUCCUGAGCCAGGAUCAAACUCU
rnacentral:rRNA from 1 species